CUAGCGAGACUGCCGGUAAUAAACCGGAGGAAGGUGGGGAUGACGUCAAAGUCAUCAUGCCCUUAUGACCUGGGCUACACACGUGCUACAAUGGUUGGUACAACGAGUUGCGAGUCGGUGACGGCGAGCUAAUCUCUUAAAGCCAAUCUCAGUUCGGAUUGUAGGCUGCAACUCGCCUACAUGAAGUCGGAAUCGCUAGUAAUCGCGGAUCAGCACGCCGCGGUCGAAUACGUUCCCGGGCCUU
rnacentral:rRNA from 1 species